rnacentral:rRNA from 1 species
CCCUUAGAUGUUCUGGGCCGCACGCGCGCUACACUGAUGCAUUCAACGAGCCUAUCCUUGACCGACAGGUCCGGGUAAUCUUUGAAUCUGCAUCGUGACGGGGAUAGAUUAUUGCAAUUAUUAAUCUUCAACGAGGAAUGCCUAGUAGGCGCAAGUCAUCAGCUUGCGUCGAUUACGUCCCUGCCCUUUGUACACACCGCCCGUCGCUCCUACCGAUUGGGUGUGCUGGUGAACUGUUCGGAUCGGCCGUUUGUCGCGGUUUCCGCGUCAUGUGGCUGAGAAGUUCAUUAAACCCUCCCACCUAGAGGAAGGAGAAGUCGUAACA